GAUGAACGCUGGCGGCGUGCCUAAUACAUGCAAGUCGAGCGAACAGACGAGGAGCUUGCUCCUCUGACGUUAGCGGCGGACGGGUGAGUAACACGUGGAUAACCUACCUAUAAGACUGGGAUAACUUCGGGACACCGGAGCUAAUACCGGAUAAUAUAUUGAACCGCAUGGUUCAAUAGUGAAAGACGGUUUUGCUGUCACUUAUAGAUGGAUCCGCGCCGCAUUAGCUAGUUGGUAAGGUAACGGCUUACCAAGGCAACGAUGCGUAGCCGACCUGAGAGGGUGAUCGGCCACACUGGAACUGAGACACGGUCCAGACUCCUACGGGAGGCAGCAGUAGGGAAUCUUCGGCAAUGGGCGAAAGCUUGACGGAGCAACGCCGCGUGAGUGAUGAAGGUCUUCGGAUCGUAAAACUCUGUUAUUAGGGAAGAACAAAUGUGUAAGUAACUAUGCACGUCUUGACGGUACCUAAUCAGAAAGCCACGGCUAACUACGUG
rnacentral:rRNA from 1 species